rnacentral:lncRNA from 1 species
GAAUGAUUUGAGUGUUAACUCCAUUUCUCUUGCAUGGGCCAGACUCUCAUCAAUUAAACUUUCUCUACUGCAAUGCCAUGGUCUCAGUGAAUGGACUUUGUGCAGGGGGCAGGAAGAACCCACGGGGUGAUUACAAAAGCACAUCCCCUGAAGCUGGUUUGACUAGCAAUUGCUUCAAACAAUGACUUCAGUGGAAGGGAUCCCUACAAGUUCUGGGCCUAACCUUUAAGAGAAUUGGCAACUUCUGUCUGUUUUCCUGGAAAUGCUUGCUCUGGAAGAAGACAUUCAUUGUAUAAGUAGUACACCCACCCAAGGAUCUCCAGGAUAUGAGGAAGCUCAAACUAGCUAUGCAGAGAGGUUUCAUGGAGAGAGAGAUGCCUGAGCAGCCCCUGACACCUCAGCUGUUUUGGCUCAGGUACCACACGGAUGAGUGGAUAAGCCUGAAGACUGUGGCUCCAGUGAUUGUAAACAUAUGAAAAGUCCCAGGAACUGUCCUAGGAGCUCGGAAUAUAACCUCAUGUCUAUUUCUUUACCUAUGAAAUUUACACUCAUUCCAUCAAGCAACUAUCAGAGAUGGAAAAAUCUAAGUCUGGAGGAAGACAUGGAAGAAAGGUAACUUCCAGAGAGAGGAAACACAGUGUUGCACAUUUAACCAGAUAGAAACGUCAACAAUGGUGCAUGAUGAAACCAAGUUCUGGAAGUGAUGGCAUGUGCCUCAUAGAAAUUAUUAAGAUGGGGAGCUAUUGAAAACCUGAAUGUCGGCCGGGCAUGGUGGCUUACGCCUGUAAUCCCAGCACUUUGGGAGGCUGAGGCGGGUGGAUCACGAGGUCAGGAGAUUGAGACCAUCUGGCUAACAUGGUGAAACCCCAUCUCUACUAAAAAUAUAAAAAAUUAGCCGGGCGUGGUGGCAGGUGCGUGUAAUCCCAGCUACUCAGGAGGCUGAAGCAGGAGAAUAGCGUGAACCCGGGAGGCGGAGCUUGCAGUGAGCGGAGACUGCAUUCCAGCCUGGGCGACAGAGCCAGACCCAGUCUCAGAAAAAAAAAAAAUAUAAGAGAGAGAAAAGCAGAAUGUCAUGCUUCAGCUCCAGAAUAAUGCUUAGAGUGGUGUCUAUUUUGUGUCUCUUUUUCUACAUAUCCCUGAAUUAUCCCGAAUGAAAAGGUAAGUGCUAAUAUUCACAUAAACAUUAUGUGGAUCAGUGUUUCGCCUAGAGGAGAAAACACCCGAAGACCGUAUGUCCAUGUUUUCCUGGGACUAUGUUGAUGCUAAAGUUCUAACCAUGACUGCAGCAAAAGGGAAAUCACACUUCUGGGGGUGUGGCCAAGAACUGACAUUUUUCAGAUGUGAUUUGCAGGGCACCACCUGCCUCACCCCAUCACCCAGCUCUACUCCAAAAAUGUCUCAACAGCCUGUGACUGGUUUAAGAUUCCACUGCUGAGGCAUUCAUUUUGGGUUAAAUUACUGUUCUCUUAAGUAUAAUUUUUCAAAAUAACCCUGGAAGCAAAUGACCUUAGAUAAAUUAUCAAUUAGUUGCUAAUUUUUUAUGAGCUGGGAAUGCAUCUUAAACUGUACUGUGCCCUUUGGCUUCCGCAGUGUCCUUGUCUACGAAGCACCUCUCUGAGCUCUGAGGAUAGAGCAUUGUGAGAGGUCAUAUAUUUUUUAUAGUGGUGAUAAGUAGAAGAGUUAGGGGUGUGAGACUGUGCCAAAGGAAGGCAAACCUGAGUGUGAGGGUCUACAUGGCCUGGACUGAAGGAUCUGUGAAGCCAGGCAAUAGAUGUGAUGAUGCGAUAGGAGUCCACAGGUACUGGGAGUGGAUACCACAGUAGGAUGAGAGGUAGAAAUUGGUGGGCAAGAUCAAGGAAGGAGGACAUAAUUAUUUCUCAGCUUGCCCAGUAUACUGGGCUCACGGACAGUUUACGCUGAACAUGUGCAUGCUUGCUGGUUUGGCUCUUUAGCCCAUCCCUCCCCAUGGCUCGUCCGAGCCUUCCUUAAAAAAGCCAUUAUUGACUGGGCAUGGUGGCUCAUGCUUGUAAUCCUGGCACUUUGGGAAGCUGAGGCAGGCAGAUCAUUUGAGGUCAGGAGUUCGAGACCAGCCUGGCCAACAUGGUGAAACACCGUCUCUACUAAAAGUAAAAAAAAAAAAAUUUGCUGGGUGUGGUGGCACACGUCUGUAAUUCCAGCUACUUGGGGAGGCUGAGGCAAGAGAAUCGCUUGAACCCGGGAGACGGAGGUUGCAGUGAGCCGAGAUUGCAACACUACACUCAAGCCUGUGCAACAGAGUGAGGCUCCAUCUUAAAAAACAAACAAAAAGCCUUUAUUUGUUCAAAUGUGGCUUAAUUGCCUCUCAUUUUCUGCCUAAAGUGUCUUCCUCUCUGCCAUGUCUGUUUUAUUCCUUUAUUUAUUCAAUAUUCUUGGGCAUUUUCUCUGUUCAUACACUCUUUUAAGGAUAUAGAAUGAAUAAUAUAAAUAAUAUCUCUGCCUUUGUUAUGCUAACAUUCCACAGAGGGAUAAUAUAAAGUAAACAAAUAACUAGACUUGAUAAUAUGCUAGCAUGUUUUAUAUCAAGAAGUCCCUUUCUGCUCUACCUUGGGUUCUGUGAUGCGUGCUAGUAACCUGCCUCCCUCCUUGUUUGGAUGGGACUCCAGGACAGGUCCUGCUACACCAGGCACCGUGGCUCCCAGAAAAAAGACACCCACCAUUCCUCAUGCGCCAACCUCUGGCCCAAACUUUUAGGUCCGUGUACAGACUAGAGACCCCAUUUAUCUGGCAAAGGGAAUUUGAUAUGCGGUGCUUUUGCUACCGUGUGUAUGUGGUGGGUGCAGGGAUGAGUCCAACCAGGGUAGCAGUGAAGAUGGUCCCAGGGCAGGCGUUGAGAGCCAAUGGAGAAAUUGUGGCUAUAGAAAGAGGUUUCUCUUGUUUGUCUACCUUUUAAUGAGGAAAAAUGUGUUAAUAACACACUUCCAAGGAGAAAGAUGACGGGCUGGAUUCCAUACUCGUGAGUCUCAAAGCCUGUGAACUUGCCCAGAGUUCCUGUUCUUAUUCUGUGUCAUUUCCCAGUCUCCAAUCCCAAAGUCUCAGCUCUAGGCCUUUCAUCCCCAGAUCCAUGUCCCCAAACACCUUGCUUAACCUGAUUCUAUGCUGAAUGCAGGAGUUUUGCCAUCCUACCUUGCUUUCUCUGCCUUUGUGUUUCUUGUUCAAUAUGCUCCAAUACCAAUUUGUGUGCUAGGCACUUUCUAGGUGGUGAAUAUAAGACUGAAUAAGAGAUGGAACGUCUCUAUGGAAUUGGCAAACUAGUUGGACAGGCUGAUUGUUGUGGUUGGAUCUCUCUUAUUUUAUAAACUAGUUGAGUUCUUCGCAAACAUUAGCAUGCAUAAGAACUCCUGAAAGACAAGUUCAAAUGCAGAAUCUCAGGUCCUACCCUGAGUUUGCAUUUGUAUAGAGGGGUGUGUGUGUAUGUGUGUCUACCCUGAGCUGAGUGGGUCUGUGGAUGGGCCUGGGAAUUGGAUGUCUAGUAAAUUCUCAGGCAAGGCUGAUGCUGCUAUCCUGUCGAGCAACGCUGAAAGACACACAGAUGAAUAAUCAGGUAUAUUCGUCAGAACUCUAUUACGCAUGAUAAAGAGCAAUUCAUUAACACAAGCAAAAGUGGAAAUUUCUAUUUAUAGAACUUGGGAAGGAUCAAAGGAAGAACUGCCUGAAAUAGAAGCUCAGAGAUUGGAAUCAAGUACUCACAGUCUUCUGGAAACCUCUUUGCUUCUUCCACUUCUGUGUGGUUCUG